UGUUCUUUGUGGUAUUCUACCUAGUAACCGGUAGUUAUAAUUCAUACUUUCCCCCUGCUAAGUCUAUCCUUGAUAUGUUCAUCCUAACCGAUGACAGAUAUUUUCUCUUUGGUAUUCUGCCUAGUAACUGGUAGAUAUAAUUCCUAUUUUUCCCCGGCAGUAUAUCCUUGAUAUGUUUACCCUAACCGGUAACAGAUAUUCUUCCUCUUUCCCCAGGUGGUUUAACCUUGGUAUGUUCAUCCCAACCAACGAGGGAUAUUCUUCCUUUGAGUUUAUCCUUGAUAUGUUGACUUUAACCUGUGACAGAUACUCUCUUUGUUGGUCUUCUGCCCAAUAACCGGUAGUUGUAAAUCCUAUUUGAU
rnacentral:lncRNA from 1 species